AUUACAAUCAUCUGAAUUCCCACCCCGUGUGAACGAUAUAUGAUUCCUAGAAUGUGUUUGGGAAUAUAAUUCAGCGUUCUUAAAUAUUCUCGUAGUUAAAGUGAAUUAACGAAAUGAUACGAAGUUAUUUUUAAGUUUGUAUAUGAAAUGAUGGGGAUGGGCGCUGAAGAGUUUUGGCUGGUAAAUGAAAUGCGAAUGGGCGAUACCGUAGAGUUUUACGACGUUGCGUGCGCAUGUGGCUGCCGAAAGAGGUGGUGAGGCCAGAGGAAGGUUUGAGAAUCAGUGAGUGUGGCUGUGUCGUAGUGGAAAGCACUAAACCCAUAAGAAAUAAAAAUUAUUACAGUGAGUGACGGGAAAAGAAGCGAGGCGCAAGUGGUAAUUGACAGGUGACGGUGAGGGUUGUAAGUUCACGAUAAACACAUUCAUGGUCCUAAAUUAAAAUGUGUGAAGCCUUGAACCCCUUCAGAGAGAGGAUUGCUGAAGGCUCGACCCUCCGUGCUCCAGGAGCGAGGCAGACACACGCUACACAACUAUACUCACCAAGUGAGUGAGUAAACCUGCCUGGAAUUCAGACCUACGGGAAAAAAAUAUCUCCUGAAGUUAUGUGAUUGUCAAGCCCCACCAGCAGGAUGCUGCACCUCCCCUUUACGAGGCUAAAGAUUCCUACAUAGGGCUCACAGUUUGCGUGUGGGGGUACCUGAAGACACAGUUCGGGUGUGGGUUGCUUAGAGGAACCCACAGUUCUGGUGUGCGGGUGUGGGGAGCCUCGAGAAGGUAUUCCUCUCAGAAUUUCCAGCACCUUCUAAGUCAUGACAGCAUUAUGGACUAACAUAUUUAAGGAGUGUUGACCUAUCUGCAGGCGGACCGCCAGAGAUGUCCCUCAGCCUGGGGGCCAUUACAAACGCUUCGUGACAUGAGCUGGCGAGGAAUGGCCGUGGGCAGAGGUAGUGGUGUAGCUAGUGGCGUAGCUAGUGGUGUAGCUAGUGGCGUAGCUAGUGGUGUACCUAGUGGUGUAGCUAGUGGCGUGGCUAGUGGUGUAACUAGUGGUAAGUUACCAGGGGAAAGGUGGAGUAGCCGUCAACCAACCAUGGGCUGGUUCAUCCUUUGACCUUCUGUCCCGUCGUGUCCACCACUGUGUGAUGGAGUCUAGGAUCAUCGUGCCGCCCACCCUCCCUACUUUUGGACAUCCCACUGUCUACUUCUACCCGACAGGUGA